rnacentral:rRNA from 1 species
UGGGGAAUAUUGGACAAUGGGCGAAAGCCUGAUCCAGCCAUGCCGCGUGUGUGAAGAAGGCCUUUUGGUUGUAAAGCACUUUAAGCGAGGAGGAGGCUACCGAGAUUAAUACUCUUGGAUAGUGGACGUUACUCGCAGAAUAAGCACCGGCUAACUCUGUGCCAGCAGCCGCGGUAAUACAGAGGGUGCGAGCGUUAAUCGGAUUUACUGGGCGUAAAGCGUGCGUAGGCGGCUUUUUAAGUCGGAUGUGAAAUCCCUGAGCUUAACUUAGGAAUUGCAUUCGAUACUGGGAAGCUAGAGUAUGGGAGAGGAUGGUAGAAUUCCAGGUGUAGCGGUGAAAUGCGUAGAGAUCUGGAGGAAUACCGAUGGCGAAGGCAGCCAACUGGCCUAAUACUGACGCUGAGGUACGAAAGCAUGGGGAGCAAACAGG